CCCUUAGAUGUCCUGGGCUGCACGCGCGCUACACUGACGAACUCAACGAGCUUAUCACCUUGGCAGAGAUGUCUGGGUAAUCUUUUGAAAGUUCGUCGUGCUGGGGAUAGAUGAUUGUAAUUAUUCGUCUUGAACGAGGAAUUCCUAGUAAGUGUGAGUCAUCAGCUCGCGCUGAUUACGUCCCUGCCCUUUGUACACACCGCCCGUCGCUCCUACCGAUUGAAUGGUCCGGUGGGGUUCUCGGAUUUUUUCUGUUGUUUGGUUCGCUAAACGAUUGAAGAGAGAAGUUACCCAAACCUUACCAUUUAGAGGAAGGAGAAGUCGUAACA
rnacentral:rRNA from 1 species